GGCCACACUGGAACUGAGACACGGUCCAGACUCCUACGGGAGGCAGCAGUAGGGAAUCUUCCGCAAUGGGCGAAAGCCUGACGGAGCAACGCCGCGUGAGUGAUGAAGGUCUUCGGAUCGUAAAACUCUGUUAUUAGGGAAGAACAAAUGUGUAAGUAACUAUCACUCUUGACGGUACCUAAUCAGAAAGCCACGGCUAACUACGUGCCAGCAGCCGCGGUAAUACGUAGGUGGCAAGCGUUAUCCGGAAUUAUUGGGCGUAAAGCGCGCGUAGGCGGUUUUUUAA
rnacentral:rRNA from 1 species